GUAAAGGUAGUUAGUCAGAUGCUUAGCUGGUAUAAAUCAACACAGAUCCAUUGUAUUCAAUUCACUGAUUUAUACCAACUGAGGAUCUGGCCCAAUAUGCCUUAGUACUCAAAAUGGGAGUCUGAGAGGGUGAUUACCUGGCUGAAGAAGGAGCGAGCAUGAAUUCUUCUGGUGGUGACCCCACGUCCACUGCAAAGAGCACCGUGGAUACUUUGGUGGGUCUGGAGCCAGUGGAAAGUGGACCUAACCAGAGGAGAAAGUCAUUGAUGAAGAGGUGGAGGCUGAAGAAGAUGUGGAGCCCCUGAUGCGGCCAAUCAGAAGCUGUUCUCCACUCCAGACGUGUCUAGCCAGUGUCUGCAGUUGCCUUCUGGUGAGACAGAAGCAGGAGAGGAGACCCCGGUAAGUGACUUCACCUUGAGAACCAACCCUCCAACAGCAGCAGAGCAUCUGUGCAAGAUAAGAAAACGGCUGAGAUGGACCAAGGAAGAUAUGUUCCAGAUAGUGCUGCAGCAGUCAGAGGUAGAAAACACUGAAUGCAAGAAGUUGAGGGAAAGGGAAAAGCAAGAAAGAGAAGAGAAGGAUUUUUACAAAAAGGGUGCCACAGAGAGGCUGAUUAAAGUUCUGGAGAGUCAAACCGACAUGAUCCAAACUCUCGUAACACUGUAGACUGAUGUGUGCCCGCCCUCCUCUUCAGCACAUUCAGAACUCUUUUCCAUGCACUCUCCAAACUCCCCUUGCGCAUUCCUUUCUGCUUUCUGGCACUUCACGCUUUCCUCUACACUCCACCCCUGCAGACAGCUUUUCAAAUGAAAGCUGGACCUAUUCUUAGCUAUGAAAAUCAGCCCCCUCCCCCCAGUACCUUCUCACCCACCAACAGUGAGUAUGUGUGUGUAAGUCCAUGUGAUGUUGUGGUUUA